ACCACCGCAAUUUUCCAGGGGAGAUGCAAACGCAGGAUAUUGGCUGUCGAGCUCAUGGGCUCGCUUUGUUUAAUUGCCAUUCACAGACUGGUUAAUAGGGGCCCAGAGACCCCAGGAGUCACCAUGAGCCAGAGGUUGACAACCGCUGAAUACCUCUGCAGGAAGAAGGGGAGGAAGUUACCGUGCACUGCGUGGACACUGUGAAAGGAUUUAAUCCAAACAUUUGAGAGAGUGUCAGAAAGGCAGCUGGAGCCUGACAGGAGGGACAUCACUGCAAAGCCUUUGCUGCCUUUCUGCGGCUCAGAAGUCCUCCCAGCAAUCCCAGUGCGAUGAGUGCUUUGGCUCAAAGUAUCUUCGUCCUCCUUCCAUUUUCCCUCAUCACCUCAACAGUAAAAACUGAGAAACAUGGAACCUUCCAGCUUACUCGGUUUCUUGGCUUUGGUGUUCACCAAAUCUGUAACUGUGAUUCUUCAGUUAGUCUGGGAUUUUCCUCAAGAGAUUUGCUCUCCAAGUCCUGGGAGGAGUUAGGACUACUUGGCUCCAAAGAUCAGGAAGGGGAACUGCCUCCAUUUGAACGUGUGACCGUGCUCCUAGGAACCAGUCAGAGAGCUCGUGUGUCAUUUUUAUCCGUGCUCCCAGGAUGCCCCACACCGAGAGAUCCUGAGAGACUCCUGCCCCUGCUCUGCAAGGUGAGCAGCCACAAUGCCCAGCGAGUGAUGCCUAGCAGGUGAUCUUCUCCAGGCCAGGAGAGCUUCCCAGGAGACUUGAACUGCAGGUCUUGCAUGUCAGCCCCAUCAGGCACCACUGAGAGGUAAUUCCCCUGUAGUCUGGUCUGGAGAUGCGGGGCUGGAGAUGCCACCUGCUGGUUCCUCCAUCCCCUGGCAGGCUUAGAUACCUCUGCUAAUUACUCUGGGUUGUCCUGUGCAUCUCUUGUCUGAGGUUAUACUGUGGGCUUUGCUCCUGGUAUCCAGCUGUGCUCUUUGUCUUGCUCCUGGCAUUGGGGCCCCCUCUUGUUGUUCUCCGUUGUGGCUCGUGAUCUCCGUUUCUUCCAGAAAGGGCAGCAGUCCCACGGGAGGUCUCCAUGCGGGGGGACGUGUGAGGAGACCAGUGGUUUCCAGCCAGCUCUCUCUGUGGGGCCUGAACAGCAGCCUGGCUGCAGAGCUGGGAGAAAAGCGCUUUAAGAAUUUGCUCAAGGCAUAAACCUAAGCUUCGCUGAGUGACGGAGACUGCUUGUUGCUGAAAUCCUUACUUAACUAAAGCUAAUGGCUAAAUUCUUGGCGGCUGUUUUCCCUAAUGCCAGGCCUCUGCUUCAAAGGCUGUGCUGGGCUCCCCAAAAUCCAAAGCAUUUUGGCCUUGGGAUCCCAUGUCUCCCCUCAGAUGGCUCAGGAGCUUAGUCCUCUGUCAACAUGUGACACCAACCUUGGCUGCUCUCGCCAGGUCACAAAAAAUGCCUGAAAAGACUCUUUAAGACACCUUAAUCUUCUGCAUCCCUAUUUGGAAACUCCUAAAAGGUAUCCCUCUGCCCUUAUCUAUCCUUAGUCUCUACCUUUUAGUUUUUAUCAUUUUACCUCAGA
ensembl:lncRNA